GGUUGCAGUGGGCGUGCUUCGCCAGCGUCAACAAGCGUUCAUAACGCUCGGGGCGCACGCGACCGGUCAUCUGCUCGUGCGGAGUCCAGUUCCAGCCC
rnacentral:tRNA from 1 species